ACACGACUACAUUAGAUACCCGGGUAGUCCUAGCCGUAAACGAUACUCGCUGGGUGUCGGCCACGGUGCGACCGUUGUCGGUGCCGUAGGGAAGCCGUGAAGCGAGCCACCUGGGAAGUACGGCCGCAAGGCUGAAACUUAAAGGAAUUGGCGGGGGAGCACAACAACGGGUGGAGCUUGCGGUUUAAUUGGAUUCAACGCCGGAAAUCUUACCGGGACCGACAGCAACAUGAAGGCCAAGCUGAAGACUUUGCCGGAUUAGCUG
rnacentral:rRNA from 1 species